AAUCAACGCUGGCGGCGUGCCUCAGACAUGCAAGUCGAACGAUUAAGACUCCCUUCGGGGAGUGCAUAAAGUGGCGCACGGGUGAGUAACACGUAAGUAAUCUACCUUCGAGUGGGGAAUAACGUUCGGAAACGAACGCUAAUACCGCAUAAUGCAGCGGCAUCGCAAGAUGACAGUUGUUAAAGGAGCAAUCCGCUUGAAGAGGAGCUUGUGGCAGAUUAGCUAGUUGGUAAGGUAACGGCUUACCAAGGCUACGAUCUGUAUCCGGCCUGAGAGGGCGGUCGGACACACUGACACUGAAUAACGGGUCAGACUCCUACGGGAGGCAGCAGUCGGGAAUUUUGGGCAAUGGGCGAAAGCCUGACCCAGCAACGCCGCGUGAAGGAUGAAGUAUUUCGGUAUGUAAACUUCGAAAGAAUAGGAAGAAUAAAUGACGGUACUAUUUAUAAGCUCCGGCUAACUACGUGCCAGCAGCCGCCGUAACAC
rnacentral:rRNA from 1 species